GAUGAAGAACGCAGCGAAAUGCGAUAAGUAAUGUGAAUUGCAGAAUUCAGUGAAUCAUCGAAUCUUUGAACGAACAUUGCGCCCGCCAGUAUUCUGGCGGGCAUGCCUGUUCGAGCGUCAUUACAACCCUCAGGCCCCCGGGCCUGGCGUUGGGGAUCGGCGGAGCCCCCCGUGGGCACACGCCGUCCCCCAAAUACAGUGGCGGUCCCGCCGCAGCUUCCAUCGCGUAGUAGCUAACACCUCGCGACUGGAGAGCGGCGCGGCCACGCCGUAAAACACCCAACUCUUCUGAAGUUGACCUCGAAUCAGGUAGGAAUACCCGCUGAACUUAAGCAUAUCAAUAAGCGGAGGA
rnacentral:misc_RNA from 1 species